UACGUAGGGUGCAAACAUUAUCCGGAUUUAUUGGGCGUAAAGAGCUCGUAGGUGGUUUGAAAAGUCAGAUAUGAAAGGUCCAGGCUCAACCUGGAAAACGUAUCUGAAACUUUCUGACUAGAGGUGUGCAGGGGAAGAUGGAACUCAUAGUGUAGCAGUGAAAUGCGUAGAUAUUAUGAGGAACGCCAAUGGUGAAGACAGUCUUCUGGGCAUUACCUGACACUGAGGAGCGAAAGCGUGGGGAGCAAACGGG
rnacentral:rRNA from 1 species